UAUUUUUUAUUUUAAUUUAUUUUAUUCUAUUUUAUUUUUUUUUUUUUUGUUUUUAUUUUUUUUUUUUUUGUUCUUCAUUUUUUUUGAUAGGAUCAACUAUAAACACAGAGGAACACAAAAAUGUCGAUGUUUGAAGGAAUGCUUAUCAGAUUAUCCGACAAAAACAAGAAAAACAGAAAGUCGAAUAUUGAAAGAAGUAAUUUUGUUAAUGAACAAAAACUAAUAAAUUGUAUAAAUGAUUAUGCUAUAAGUUCUAAUAAACUAGAAACAGAAAAAAAAGAAAAAAAAAAAAAAGUCGAAAUCGAAAUCGAAAAUAAUGAUGUAAUAAAAACAUUAACAACAAAUAAUACUUAUUAUAACAAUUGUUACACUAAUACUAUCAAAUAUGAUGAAUUAAAUCUAAUCAAAUUAACCCCUAAAUCUAAAUUAAUUCACAGUGGUUAUAAUAAUAGCUAUACGAAUGAUGAAUAUGAAACGUAUACUACUACUACUACUACUUCUGCAACCACUACUACUACUAGCAACCAUUUAACAGAUAAAACUAUGCAAAACAGUUCAACGAUAUUUAGGACAGAACAUGAAAAUAAAUAUCCUUCUCUUACUUUGGAAAAUUUAAAAGACAUGUAUGAAAACGACUUAAAAAACGAAAAUACUACUGCUGCUAAUAUUCCUACUAUUACUACUACCACUACUUAUAAUAACAGUGACAACAUAAUAAACACAAUUAAUGAAAAAGACAACUUAGCACUAAUAUAUCACAACGAGGAAAUCCAAUUAUAUAAUGUGCUAAGUUUUUUUCAAAAUUUUUUUAUCAGUACAAAUAAUGUAAAUACAAGAAAAUUAAAAUUAGCUUUUGAUUUGUUACUAAAACCUAAUAAUAGUAAUAAUAAUAUGUUAAUUAUUACAUAUUUCUUUUUAUAUAAUUUUUAUAUGAUUUUAAAAUUUUUUAAUUUAAAAAGGGAUUAUAAUUAUGAUAGACUAUUAUAUAAGUCAUUAUUAAAUAUUCAUAAUAUGCGAAAAAAAAAGAAGAAAUGUAAACAAAAAGAAAAAAUGCUUAUUAUGAACGAUAAACUAGAUAUUGCUUAUACUGUACAAAAGAACAUUUUCCAUUAUAAUUCUGUGAUAACAGAAAAUGAAAAUUAUAUGAUAAAAUUGUUCAAAGAAAAAAAAAAUAUUUAUUAUAAUAAUCAUUUUUUACGUAAAUUUAUAAAACAGCUACUUCAACUUAUUUUUCGUACACUA
rnacentral:lncRNA from 1 species